rnacentral:lncRNA from 1 species
UCGUUUUUCCAAUUGAAUUGAAAAGAUCGAGCGCAAAAUCUUUGUUGAUAAACACUACAAUAAUGUAUGGAGCUAUGGGCGGUACGGAUAGGAAAAUACAGACUGUCAAACAGAAAAAUGGCCUAUAAAACAUGCGAAAAACAAUCUAAAUGUUCAUAUAAACCCACAAAUAAGGCUAUAUUAUUGUUCAAUUAUCAAAAAAUCAUUUUUUUUUGUACAAAAACUUUCAUAUUUAAAAAAUUCACCAUGGCCAUAAUGCGAAACUAAACUUCUGUGUAUUGCUACCACACGACGGUUGCCACAUGUGGAGCAGGAUCUGCUUACCCUUCCAGAGCACAUGAUAUCACCCCC